GGGUCGUUAGCUCAGUCGGUAGAGCAGUUGACUUUUAAUCAAUUGGUCGCAGGUUCGAGCCG
rnacentral:tRNA from 2 species